GAUGAACGCUGGCGGCGUGCCUAAUACAUGCAAGUCGAGCGAACGGACGAGAAGCUUGCUUUUCUGAUGUUAGCGGCGGACGGGUGAGUAACACGUGGAUAACCUACCUAUAAGACUGGGAUAACUUCGGGAAACCGGAGCUAAUACCGGAUAAUAUUUUGAACCGCAUGGUUCAAAAGUUAAAUACGGUCUUGCUGUCACUUAUAGAUGGAUCCGCGCUGCAUUAGCUAGUUGGUAAGGUAACGGCUUACCAAGGCAACGAUGCAUAGCCGACCUGAGAGGGAGAUCGCCCACACUGGAACUGAGGCACGGUCCAGACUCCUACGGGAGGCAGCAGUAGGGAAUCUUACGCGAUGGGCGAAAGCCUGACGGAGCAACGCCGCGUGAGUGAUGAAGGUCUUCGGAUCGUAAAACUCUGUUAUUAGGGAAGAACAUAUGUGUAAGUAACUGUGAACAUAUUGACGGUACCGAAUCAGAAAGCCACGGCUAACUACGUG
rnacentral:rRNA from 1 species